ensembl:lncRNA
ACGGCCCUGAUGGAUGCUGCGGAUCCAGAGGUCAAUUAAAGCUAAGAGUCAGGACCCCCGCCUCCCGGCUGGGAACAGACCAAAGACCACUCCGGUUAAGGGGGGGUGGCCGGCUGGGAACAGACCAAAGACCACUCCGGGACUCAGGACUACACGCAAGGCCCGGCCUGGACAUCCUGUCAUCCCCUCCCCCUCAGAGCCCCUCUCUCCCGGCAGGCCGGUCCAGAGAGCAACCAGCCCCCCCCCCCAAUGGACACCCUGCCCUAGCCUUGCCUUGGCUCGCUGUCAGCAGAGCUGACAUCAAACGCCUCCUGAAACCAGGGUUCCCCCCAUGGCAUUUGAAGUGUGGGGGACCAUUGUUUUCCAAACACCUGCUCCUGACCUCUCCCUCCGUCUCCUACGUGAAGACCCCUGGCCCACACUGAGGGAGGACGGCGAAAACCAAAACGUAAAGAGAAAGCACGUUGUAGAUGAGCAUGUAGAGAGG